AACCAUUCUCACCUGCGGCUAGACCUGCGGAGGGAUCAUUAACAAAUUGUCCACCACAAAUGGAUAAUUUUAUCCAUAUCCACCUUGUGUGAAUCAUAGACGUGUUUGUUGGCAGGUUACGGCUUUUUCGUAUUGGAGAGCCGGAGGGUUUCAGCACUGAUGAUUCAGUGCUAGCUCGGCCUGCCAAUUUUAUUAUAUUUAACUUGUCUAAAUAGUAUUGGUCUGAAAUACAUUUAUUUA
rnacentral:misc_RNA from 1 species